rnacentral:tRNA from 1 species
GAGAGAGGCCAGCCCGCAGCUAAGAUUGCUAACCUUCGCACCCCAGGUUGAACUCCUGGGCUCUACUCG